UACGGAGGGUGCAAGCGUUGUCCGGAAUCACUGGGUGUAAAGGGUGUGCAGGCGGGACGACCAGUCAGAGGUGAAAGCCCCCGGCUCAACCGGGGAAUGGCCUUUGAUACUGUCGUUCUUGAGUCCUGGAGGGGCUGCCGGAAUUCGUGGUGUAGCGGUGAAAUGCGUAGAUAUCACGAGGAACACCAGAGGUGUAGACGGGCAGCUGGACAGGUACUGACGCUGAGGCACGAAAGCGUGGGGAGCAAACAGG
rnacentral:misc_RNA from 1 species